ACCAAGGAAUGUGCAGCAGUGAACGUUAGAAACUGAUCAGACUUGAGUGUCUGGUUUGCAGUGACUCGUUAAUCAUUGUCUCAGUUCCGGUUUCCUGCUCAGCUACAACGAUUCAUUUCACUUUAACAGCAACAGUUUGGAUCACUGUGUCUUUAUCUGUGACAUCUAGAAUGAGUCCUAUAAAGAAUAAACAUCUCUUGGUUUUGCAUCAUGUUGUUGUCGUCCUCCUUUUUCUAACACAAACUUGUGGUGGUCAGCAUCAAAUGAUUGGUCCAACUCAGCCAGUAGUGGCCAUGAUUGGUGAUGACAUCAUUUUGCCAUGCCACCUGGAACCUGCUGUGGAUGCUGUUGACCUGACUGUGGAUUGGUCCAGAA